rnacentral:rRNA from 1 species
GCUAGUAAUCGCAGAUCAGCAUGCUGCGGUGAAUACGUUCCCGGGCCUUGUACACACCGCCCGUCACACCAUGGGAGUCGGUAACACCCGAAGUCGGUAGCCUAACCGUAAGGAGGGCGCCGCCGAAGGUGGGAUUGAUGACUGGGGUGAAGUCGUAACAAGGUAAC